rnacentral:rRNA from 1 species
UACGUAGGGGGCGAGCGUUGUCCGGAUUCAUUGGGCGUAAAGAGCUCGUAGGCGGUUUGUCGCGUCGGGGGUGAAAACACUGGGCUUAACUCAGUGCUUGCUUUCGAUACGGGCAGACUAGAGGUAUGCAGGGGAGAACGGAAUUCCUGGUGUAGCGGUGAAAUGCGCAGAUAUCAGGAGGAACACCGGUGGCGAAGGCGGUUCUCUGGGCAUUACCUGACGCUGAGGAGCGAAAGUGUGGGGAGCGAACAGG